GAUGAACGCUGGCGGCGUGCCUAAUACAUGCAAGUCGAGCGAACUGACGAGAAGCUUGCUUCUCUGAUGUUAGCGGCGGACGGGUGAGUAACACGUGGAUAACCUACCUAUAAGACUGGGAUAACUUCGGGAAACCGGAGCUAAUACCGGAUAAUAUUUUGAACCGCAUGGUUCAAAAGUGAAAGACGGUCUUGCUGUCACUUAUAGAUGUAUCCGCGCUGCAUUAGCUAGUUGGUAAGGUAACGGCUUACCAAGGCAACGAUGCAUAGCCGACCUGAGAGGGUGAACGGGCACACUGGAAAUGAGACACGGUCCAGAAACCUACGAGGAGCAGCAGUAGGGAAUCUUCCGCAAUGGGCGAAAGCCUGACGGAGCAACGCCGAAUGAGUGAUGAAAGUCUUCGGAUCGUAAAACUCUGUUAUUAGGGAAGAAAAUAUGUGUAAGUAACUGUGCACAUCUUGACGGUACAUAAUCAGAAAGCCACGGCUAACUACGU
rnacentral:rRNA from 1 species